GAUCGUGAUGAUGACUCCAUAAAUUCAAGCUCAACAGACCGGAUUGCAGGGUUUCUCAUUCAUGAGAAACUUUAUGCGUGUCGAAAACCCCGCUGAACUGAGCGAUC
rfam:Daucus carota subsp. sativus cultivar DH1 chromosome 5, whole genome shotgun sequence.